UGGAGACCUGGAAAACAUUAACUAUUGGUAGCUCUCGAUGACCAGGGUUGGCUACCCCUGCCUUUAGAGAAUAUGAAAGCAAAGUUACAGGAUUUCCCCGAGCCGCUGAGAUGCACUGGAAACAAGUUGGAAUCUUACAAUGGGAUUUUGGGACAUCCUGGAUAAAUGCGCUGUCCUCUUUCUAAUUGUUGAAAAAAAGAAAUUGAUUUGUCAAAGUGUCUGACAUUUAGUUACAUACGGUAAUUAAAUAUUAAAUAAUAUUAUGUAAGGAAAGAGAAAGGCCCAUAGCUUAAACUGGGCUUACUGUAUUUUGUUAAAGUGUUAUAUAUUGUUUAGCUAACAAUGUAUACUGUAUAUUAUAUGUUCAUUAGUUUUCUGAUACCUUGUGGUGGAAAAAAUACACAUACUAUUUUGGAUUUUGGAGAUCAGAGAAUGGAAGGGUGUUAGGAAACAUAAUGAAGCAAAAAGUGAUUGGGUUGCAAACAACUCUCUAUCCAGUGUCACUUACACUUAUCCUAGAAAGGACACUAUGCAUAAUGGACACUAAUCUUAUUACCUAUGAAGACCCUCUACGUGCGCCAACUGGCUGCAAUGUGAACUUACAGUGAUUUCUUGAUAAACAACCUUUUUAUUUAAAUAA